UGGAUCCAGACUUUGAUCAUGGCUCAGGACGAACGCUGGCGGCGUGCUUAACACAUGCAAGUCGAACGGAGAACUUAUUUCGGUAAGUUCUUAGUGGCGAACGGGUGAGUAACGCGUGGGCAACCUGCCCUCCAGUUGGGGACAACAUUCCGAAAGGGAUGCUAAUACCGAAUGUGCUCCCUCCUCCGCAUGGAGGAGGGAGGAAAGAUGGCCUCUGCUUGCAAGCUAUCGCUGGAAGAUGGGCCCGCGUCUGAUUAGCUAGUUGGUGGGGUAACGGCUCACCAAGGCGAUGAUCAGUAGCCGGUCUGAGAGGAUGAACGGCCACAUUGGGACUGAGACACGGCCCAAACUCCUACGGGAGGCAGCAGUGGGGAAUCUUCCGCAAUGGACGAAAGUCUGACGGAGCAACGCCGCGUGAGUGAUGAAGGUCUUCGGAUUGUAAAACUCUGUUGUUAGGGACGAAAGCACCGUGUUCGAACAGGUCAUGGUGUUGACGGUACCUAACGAGGAAGCCACGGCUAACUACGUGCCAGCAGCCGCGGUAAUACGUAGGUGGCAAGCGUUGUCCGGAAUUAUUGGGCGUAAAGAGCAUGUAGGCGGGCUUUUAAGUCUGACGUGAAAAUGCGGGGCUUAACCCCGUAUGGCGUUGGAUACUGGAAGUCUUGAGUGCAGGAGAGGAAAGGGGAAUUCCCAGUGUAGCGGUGAAAUGCGUAGAUAUUGGGAGGAACACCAGUGGCGAAGGCGCCUUUCUGGACUGUGUCUGACGCUGAGAUGCGAAAGCCAGGGUAGCAAACGGGAUUAGAUACCCCGGUAGUCCUGGCCGUAAACGAUGGAUACUAGGUGUAGGAGGUAUCGACCCCUUCUGUGCCGGAGUUAACGCAAUAAGUAUCCCGCCUGGGGACUACGAUCGCAAGAUUGCAACUCAAAUGAAUUGACGGA
rnacentral:rRNA from 1 species